ACAUGCCCUUUGGUGCUCUUCCCAGAUAUACGUGUAUAUUUUCUGCUACUCCAGAUGUAUGCUUUUCUUCUUUUUCAACAUAAACAUAUUCCUUGGCUAAGCACACACAAGAAAAGGCAUAGAGAAACGAUCCAUCACAAGAUCGAAAUCAGACAACAUCGGGAAAUUUCAAAGUUAGGGCUUUCAUGAAUGAAAUUGGGGGAAUAUUUGGGGUUUUGAUAAUUGGUAAAAGUCUGUUUUUCCCCCACCGAGAAAGCAAAUAGAACCCAGGUAAUAAUCCCUUUUAGAAGUUAAAAUUUGAUUUUGAUCUAAAACUAUUUUGCUCGAUCAUUGCUAAUGUUUCUAAUUUCUACUUAGUUUCCUCAUCUCUCUGAAAAUUAGCUUCUUUUUCUUUUUACAUAUCUCCCUUUUCUCUUUGAUUCUGGGGUUUGUUUUACCUGUAAGUUUUGCUAAGUUUCUUGGUGAUGGGAUUUCGAAGAUAUGUG